rnacentral:tRNA from 1 species
GAAUAGGUAGCUCAGGUGGUAGAGCAGCAGAUUUAUUCUGCGGGCCAUGGGUUCAAGUCCCAUUCUAUUCU